rnacentral:rRNA from 1 species
CGGAGCGAAUCGCUAAAAGCCGUCCCAGUUCGGAUUGCAGGCUGCAACCCGCCUGCAUGAAGUUGGAAUCGCUAGUAAUCGCGGAUCAGCAUGCCGCGGUGAAUACGUUCCCGGGCCUUGUACACACCGCCCGUCACACCAUGAGAGUCGGGAACACCCGAAGUCCGUAGCCUGACCGCAAGGGGGGCGCGGCCGAAGGUGGGUUCGAUAAUUGGGGUGAAGUCGUAACAAGGUACC